UACAAAAUUUGCGCUACGAUGCUACUGAUGAUCAUCUUCUUAAUUUGGAAGUAAGAUCAACCAACACAUCCUCUUUGCAAGGUAUUGUAAGAUCACCCAUUUAGAGGCGGAUCCACGUACAGGUAAGCCAGGGGUUCACCUAAUCCUUCUCGAUAAAAAAUUACACCAUAUAUAUAUAUAAGAGAUAAGUUUCUGUAUUUAUGUGAAUAUAUAUAUUUUGAACCCGUUCUAAUGACAAAGGAAAUGAGAUAGCUUAAUGGUGAAUUCCUCUGAAACUAUGUGUGAGAUCCAGGGUUUGAAUCCCAAAAGAAAUCAAGGGCAUAUUCCUUGAAAAAAAUUUGUUGACUUAUUUGUUUAUACUUUCAUUUUUCGAACCAUGAAUGAAAAUUCUGGAUCGGCCAAUGUACUCGUGGCGAUCAAAACCAAACUCCUCUUCGGAUUUAGCUAACAAGUCUUGACAUAAAGGGACGACGAAUCUCUUCUACUGGUUCUCUCCUGCAUAUGCACAAUGACCUUUUGAAACACCUUCGGUUGUUGAAGACCACCGAUUACCCUGAAUAAAUGGAAUCACUUUGAUACCCAUUUUCUUCAAGGAAUAUUUGAUGAAGGCAAAGAAAGAUGAAGAAUUACGCAGACAAUGAGAGUUUGGGCUCAAUGAUAGUGUAGCCCAAGAAACAAAUUCGUGAGUUCUAUGUAGCGAAGCAGUGGAGUUCGUCCCCUUGGGGACAUCCAAUAAAAUUGGAAUGAUACAGAGAAAGAUUAGCAUGGCCCUGUCAUCAACGAUGACACGCACAAAUCGAGAAAUGGUUCAAUUUUUUUUUUGCCCAUCGUCAGCGCUGAUGCUCCGGUCGCUUCUGUACUUUUUUGGCCGUUCGGACGGCGGUGACGUUCAGAUGAGAUUUCUCGAACUUCGUAAGCUAUUCAGAGUUUGUUUUAUUUCCUGUUUCCUCUGGAUUCAAUUAAUAUAUUAUCAACAUUUAAUUUACAUGGCUCCUCUCGAAUUCGAGAUUCAGAAAAACCCAGUUCAAUUUAUGUAUUCUGAUUCUGUUUUACUUCCUUGGUUUAGACUUAAUUUGCAUCUGUAGUUUUAUCAGAAUCCCCAUAUUCAUGUUUUUGCUAAUUUGGUUUAGCCAUGUGAUUGACAAAGUUCUUUUUUUCUUUUGUUUAUAAUUCUCAUUACAAUUACAAUCAUUUUAGUUUAGAUGGUGAAUCGAGCACCAGUCAGAACAAAUAACUCAGCCUUCAUUGCUAUGAUUGUCUAUAUAAUUUGAAUCUGUUACCUAAAAGGAAUGUAGGUCAGGAUUAGGUUAGAAAGUUGUAGGUAGUGAGUGUUGUUGCACUUUUUUUUUUUUUUCCUUCUAUGUGUAUUAGUAUAAAAUACUUUCAUUUGAUUUUUAGGAUACAAUCACAGGAUAUUUUUACUAGCAGGAGUUGAUAAUGUUGAUUCGAGGAGGGAAACUGACGAUCUUAUUGUCGAUUCAAUUCUGUUUCUUAUGGUUUAGAAAUGACGACGAAGCAGAUUGAAGAUGCUUUCAAAGAAUUUAUCACAAGGGAGGAUAUUGGGAAAUAGUGUUAAUCAGCCAAUACGUGAGUUUCUAUUCUAUUUUUCCCUCUUGUUUUAUGGCAGCAUCCAUAGCAUAGCUGCUAGUUGUAACUCCGUUAUGUAAAAUGUCGAAUAAUUAGUAUGUUGGUGCUUAUUGGAGGUAUGACGGCGUAGCUUUGAACUUGUGAAGUACCUCAUCGCAGGAAAAAGUUCAACUGUCCUAGACCCUAGGUAGCUUGACAUGGGAAAACUGAUUGAGAAGUGGAAAAUAAUUUUUAGUGGGAAUAUGUUAUAGGAAGUCGAGCUUCAUUAAAGAUCUUUCAUGUGACGGUUCUACCAAGUAUACUUGUAUUUGUAAAGUCAACAAGUUGUCUCCAUGUGACCUAUAGGUCAUGUGUUCAAGCUGUGGAAGCAACACUAAGCAUAGUACAUUACAGGAGGUUAUCGACAUCACACACCUUCCCCUUGGGGUGCCCCCUUCUUCUGACCUUGAAUGGCGUUUAAAUAGCAAAAUUGAGUCAUUGCCAUAUAAUGCCAACUAUGAAUGCAAAAGAGGAGGUUGUCUACUAUGAGUCUGUCCGUUGCAAUUCGACAAUAAUGAGGACAUUAGUUACUGUUAACACCAAACUACUUGAGAGAAAGUAGAAACACUAAUGAUUUGCUUUAAGAUAGACUAUCAAUGGGUCCGAAUUUGUGAGACUCAGGCCAUAGACCAUUAGCAGGAUGGUUCUUUGGACAAUGCCGAAUCAAGGAAGUAUCAAGAUUAAUACCGAUGGGAGCUACAUAGAUUAUAAUGUUAAGGUAGGGAUUGGGGGUAUAGCCAGAGAUUGCAAUGGGGAUUUUGUUUUCGCUUUUGCUAUUCCUGUACAUUGCCAAAAUCAUUGGGGGAUAGCCAGAACAUGUUUCCUAUCGGUGGUUUGAUCUCAUUGACUAUUGGACAAUAUACUAUUAAUUCAUAAGAAACACUUGUUUCAACCAAAAACAUUAAUUAUGAUGAAAUCAUGUCUCCAAUUUUACAUUCAUGUACUCUGAUUCGAGAUUUUCUUAAUCGUUACAUGUCAUAAAAUGUUAACAGUUCUUACGCCGAUGAUGAACAUUUAGCGUAGAAGUUACUGCUUAUAGGUAGUGAGCCACGUCAUCGACAUAGAUGUCUUGUAGCUGCUCCACAAGAAUAUGUUGAGCCUUAUCCUGUUCCUGAGAGCGUAUGGAAAACACCAUCAGAUUUUUUCUGUUGUAUAGACUGCAUAUACUUGUAAAACGUCUGGUUAUUUGAUCAAUCAUGCAGGCCGUGAUGAUUGUAAGGAUUAUUUUGAUCUUAACAACACUCGUUGGACAGUGAAAGAGGGUACUGGUGUUGACUUGUUUAUGCAUGAAGUGAUAGCAGUAACGAAGGAUGGAACGAUUAGAAUUGGGUGAAUACUGGAGGUGGUGUGACUACAUUUGCUGUAAGAAUGAAAGGAAGGAACAUAAAGAUUCUAUCGACAUAUUGAUACCAACGACACAUUUAGAAGUAGGCGAUCCCCUUAUGAUAUAUCUUCCAGAAGACGACAACAUGAUCAUCCCAUCGUUAGGGGAUUACAAACCAUAAUUACCCUUCGUGAUUUAGUGGAAAGGGCCUUAAAGCAGCAGCAUGUACAAGACUAUUUCUAUGACGGAUCAUCACCAAAUUCUUCAGAUGAUUCUCAACCAGAAAGUGAACUGUUUGAUGAUCAACAGGCUUAUACGGAGGAGAAAGUGGACGUUGUUAUAUAUUAUUCGGGUAUUUAAAAACAAAUAUUCAUCGUGUUGCGAAGCUAAAAAGAUUUGUGCCAUAUCUCAAGCAGAAUUUGAGCAUGAAGAGUCCAUUGGGACACUUGAGUGCGGACAUGAAUAGCAUACGAGCUGCAUCAAACAAUGGUUGCUGAGGAAGAAAGACUGUCCGGUGUGUCGAGCUUCUGUUUUGACCUUAAAACAUAGUAUAUAGAGAUUAUUUUAUUAUGAAAUUCCGUUGUAUUAAACUUAGUUAUUCUAAAGUAUUGGAUGUAACGCACUAUAUAUAUUUUUGAUAACUACAAGAACAAUUUGUUUCCUAUCCUA